CAGAGAUUGUAUAAGAGAAACCACAUUUCAAAUUUACCAUUUGUUUUAAAAGAUGCUAAAAUGUAAUGUGAAUUUCUGCUGUAUAGUGCUACAAUGAGAUACCAUGAGUACAAGAGAGAAAAUUCAAAAUUAAAAACUUGAUUUUUUAUAGCUAGACACUGAAAGAUUUUGAAAGAUUGUAGAAAAACCUCAUUUAAAUUGAUUUGUAGUGUUUUUAGUUAAUCAGGAUACUGCUAUAUUCAUAUUUCAAUCAAAUUGACAGGAUAGUGAUUAUUUAUUAUACAAUAUGAAAUACAUUUUUAUUAUACUGCAAUAUGUAAAAAUCUAUAUAUACUUCUCUUUGUUGUAAUAAAAAAGCUUUUAUGCAAAGUUGUGGCAUUUUGUCAUGUUGAAUAUUGAAUUCACUAUGUGAAUAUAGCUUGUAAUUGUGAACAUAUCUAAUGUGUAUAUCUGCUUGAAUAAUUAUUUUGUGCACAUAAAUAUUUUAUGAGAACAUUUAAAUGACUUUUAUCUUUUGUAUGUAUAAUGGACAAUGUUAUUUAAAGGUUGUGUAUAUGAUUUUUCAUUGGAACAUGAUAUUUUUGUCAAAAUUAUGUUCCAACAUGAGCACAGAAAAUUACUGAAUGUUUUGAAAAAAAAAAAUCAUUGUAUUCUAAAUUUUUCUUAACAUUUGUAUAAAGAUUUUUUCUUGAAAAAAUUAAACCAUUUAUUUAUGUAAACAUGGAUAAAGAUAUUUUAUUGCAAAGAAACUGUAGGGAAACUAAAACUGUUCUUUUCAAUCACUUUUCUGCCUAAAAAAUGUUUUUUUUUGUACGAAUUUGAAUGAAAGUAACUCCUGAAACUAAAAUUAUUUCCUAAUGCUUGUCGAUUAAGACUUGGUUGGCUUUAUUUGUUUGUAUGAAUGUUUGCUCAAGCAUUGUUAUUAAGAUUUACAUCUGAAAACAACAAAAAUAGGCAGAGUUAAACUUGUAUACAUUUAUAUUAAGAUUUUUUGGACAUUAUCAAAUAAUUAAAUUUACCUUUAUACAGGUACUCUGCCAACUUAUUUUGUUUGCAGAUGUCAAUCUUUAUUAAAAUGUUUCAGCAGACAUUAAUUCAAACCAAGCAAAUAAGGAAAGGAAGAAAACCCAAUUCUUACUCUACAUGCAUUAGGUCUAAGAAAAUUGGCCAAGGAUAAAGUAUAUGACCUGAAGUCUGCAGGUAAGUAUAAAGGGAAGCUCCACAUUGAUUCCUGUUACAAGCGAUUCACAAUCAAUGCAACUUAGACAUUUGGAAUCAAAAUAAAUUUUGAGUGACUGUUCCUAUAAUCUAAAUUUAAUGGAAAUAUUCCAAAGACUAAUUUUUGUUUUUGCUUGAAAGUUAAAAUUUUAGGUCUUGAAGGAAUAUGUAUUUAUAACAUUUAGAAAGAAAAAAAACCUAGCCAUCCUUAUUCAUGAAAAAAUUACUUGAGGUAAGUAUUGGUACAAUUGAAUUGCACAAUUAUCUGACAAAAGUAAUAAAAAAAAUCAUGAUUUAUGUAAAUUACAGCAACUUUGUUAUCGAAACAAACUAUGUGAUGUCAUUGUAAAAGCUUAUUCAUUAAAUAUGAAAAACUAAGUCUUGACCAAUUUUUAAUGACAACUUUGCCUUAGGGGUUAUUGUUUGGUCAUUAUACAUCAUAGAAAUGUUGGAAUUUUAAAAAAGCUUCAUUUCUGUCUCUUUGGCCAAAGAAAGAGAGCAGAAAGGACAAUCAUUCUCAUUAAAACUUGAAGACAACAAUCAAGAAUAAACUGUACCAAG
rnacentral:lncRNA from 1 species